UGCUGGUGGUUGCGUAACAGACAAAAUGAAGAGACGAUUAAAAAAAAAAAGAAAAGAAAAGAAAAGAAAACUGAACAAAACCAGAACUGAACCCAGUUCCAGUCCCAGUCCCAGUCGUGAUGGUGGAUUCAGCGCUCCAGCUCUCCGACGAGGUCCGCAUUAACAGGGCGAAGACGAUAAUUUCUCGUCAACCAUUCGCGAUCCUCAGCAUGCCACGACGUUCCGCCUUGGUACUAGUAGGCAGUGGGGAUGGAUGACACGUGGGAAAUGCAACGGAUUCUCCCUCCUCUGGACAACAGGAGCGGAUGCGAAGGCGAGAAGAGAGACAACUAUCUGUCUGUCUGACUGACUGACUGACUGACUGAGACCAGUAGGUAGCGGAGGAGCUGGGUUGGAGGGGAGGCAAGGCAAAAGGCCGCUCUUGACUGGCCCUUUGUUUCCCCUUGGCUGCCUUUUUAUUUAUGUUGUGUUGUCUGCUGUGUGCUCUGGGGUGUUGUUUGCCUGUUUCUUGUCCCACUAUUUCUGAAGGUAGAUAGAUAUGGUUGCUUUGGAUGGGUUUUGGACCUGGCUGGGUGGGUGUUUGGUGGAAAUCUAUCCGGCGUGUGAGAAGAGCCAGGAGCUGGGUAAGCUGGUUAAAUUCUCAUUUGAUGAUUGGGAUAGUUAAACUAAUCCGUUAGCCUUCAACAUUGAGCAAACCCGAGAAUGAAGAACGAUUUAGAACCCUAACCUGGCGCCAACGACCUCCCCUCCCUCCCCUUGCUUCCGGGUGCGUGUCCCGGGGUUGUUUGAAAUAAUAAUAAUAAUAAUAAAAGACAUAAAAUAUAAAAAUGUCAAUGGCCCAAGUCAACCAGAAGGGGUGUCGGGCGAGCCAGCCAAAGAACAAGAAAAAAAAAGCACAUGCAAGCAAGACAAGGGAUCUAUGCAUGCAGUGCCAGCUCAUCAGCAUCGACCAGCGCAGCUAAACCUGUAUAGUCUCUCCUCUUGAUUCGCCAGCGGACCUUUUUUUUUUUUUUUUUUUUUUUUCCACCCUUCCUUCGUUCUGUUUUUUCCCUCUGAACUUAUCGGUUCGAUUUCCUUCUUCCUCUUGCUUUAGCCCUCCCAGCCUCUCUUCUGUGAGGGAUUUUCUCUGCAGCGCUGGUUGUUGGAGGAAUGACUCUGUUUCUUCAUACCCGGUUAAAUAUCAAUCACAAAAAAGUCAGUAAAACACAGAGUAGAUGAUGGUCUUCGUUUCCGCCACCUCCUUGUUCCAACUCCCGCCGGCUCUGACGCACACAACCCAUAAUCGCCCUUCGCAGCCGAGUAUCUAGCUCCUGGCCUCGCUGUAUUCGGACCAACGAUAUCGCAGCACUCUGAUCUGCGGCCGCUGGGCCACUCCCCCCGAGCAGACGCAGCAUUCGAGCUUACUCCGUACUCUACUCCGUACUCCGUAGUUACAUAGGUACCAUACAUAGUUAGUUAGUUAGCAUAGUACAUGGGGCUGGAACUGGGCCCAUGUUCGAAGCCAUGGCAUGGCAUGGCAUGGCUAGGCAUGGCCACCUCGACCGAAUUCCGGCCCAGCUGCUGCAGGACGACGCAAUGGGGAAUGAUUUAUCAAAUGGUGCAAUAAGCAUCAGUUAGUUAUAGUUAAGGAUAAGUUUUCUAGUCGAAUGUGGGUUCCUCCUCCGCUCCCAACCCCACAAGAAGCAAUUCAUGUAGUGUUAGACAUUUUUGUAGAGAAGAGGGACGGGGGUUUGGAUUGGUAGGGGAUCGGCGGCAGCUCAAUCGACAAUGGG
rnacentral:sRNA from 1 species